rnacentral:rRNA from 1 species
UACAGAGGUGGCAAGCGUUGUUCGGAAUUACUGGGCGUAAAGGGCGCGUAGGCGGCCUUCUAAGUCAGACGUGAAAUCCCCCGGCUUAACCUGGGAACUGCGUCUGAUACUGGGAGGCUUGAGUAUGGGAGAGGGAUGUAGAAUUCCAGGUGUAGCGGUGAAAUGCGUAGGUAUCUGGAGGAAUACCGGUGGCGAAGGCGGCAUCCUGGGUCAAGAUUGACGCUCAUGCACGAAAGCGUGGGGAGCAAACAGG